GAUGAAGAACGCAGCGAAAUGCGAUAAGUAGUGUGAAUUGCAGAAUUCAGUGAAUCAUCGAAUCUUUGAACGCACAUUGCGCCCCUUGGUAUUCCAUGGGGCAUGCCUGUUCGAGCGUCAUUUGUACCCUCAAGCUUUGCUUGGUGUUGGGCGUCUUGUCGUAUUACGACUCGCCUUAAAUACAUUGGCAGCCGGCACUUUAGCCUAGGAGCGCAGCACAUUUUGCGAUCGUAGCCCGUUGUACUGGCGUCCAUCAAGAACAUUUACCACGUUUGACCUCGGAUCAGGUAGGGAUACCCGCUGAACUUAAGCAUAUCAAUAAGCGGAGGA
rnacentral:misc_RNA from 1 species